rnacentral:rRNA from 1 species
GACGAACGCUGGCGGCGUGCUUAACACAUGCAAGUCGAACGGAAAGGCCCUGCUUUUGUGGGGUGCUCGAGUGGCGAACGGGUGAGUAACACGUGAGUAACCUGCCCUUGACUUUGGGAUAACUUCAGGAAACUGGGGCUAAUACCGGAUAGGAGCUCCUGCUGCAUGGUGGGGGUUGGAAAGUUUCGGCGGUUGGGGAUGGACUCGCGGCUUAUCAGCUUGUUGGUGGGGUAGUGGCUUACCAAGGCUUUGACGGGUAGCCGGCCUGAGAGGGUGACCGGCCACAUUGGGACUGAGAUACGGCGCAGACUCCUACGGGAGGCAGCAGCGGGGAAUAUUGCACAGUGGGCGGAAGCCUGAUGCAGCAACGCCGCGUGCGGGAUGACGGCCUUCGGGUUGUAAACCGCUUUCGCCUGCGACGAAGCGUGAGUGACGGUAAUGGGUAAAGAAGCACCGGCUAACUACGUG